AACAGGAAAAUGCAUCAUUGAAAACAGGAGCAAGGGGGAAGGGGACAGAGAUGAGGAAGACAAAGAAAAGCAAUAGAGGGGAAGAGAGGAAAGCUGGAGAAGAGGGAGAGAAAAAAGCAGAAGAUACAAAAUUUCUCCCAUAGGAAACUGGCAGGAUUUAUAAUUUACCACCCAAGUCUUCUUCCUCUACCCCUUUCCCUUCUUAAAAUAGUAAUGAUUGUACUGGGUCGGAAGCACAGUUUACCCAAGUCACUGUCUCAUGGGAGAGCAUGAUCUCUCAAAUACAACUUUUACAGGUAGAGAAUUGCUCCACUUUUCUCAGUAACCACUUAAAACUGUCAUUUAGGCACAUAUUCAAAUGGUGUUUGAAUGUUUCUAUUUCCUGCCUGCACCAGCUUUUGGGAUAAUUUUUUGAUUAGCUAUUUUUUUGUCAUUCUAACAUUUCAAAGGGUUUCCCUUCAUUCCAACAUUUCAGGAUUUGGAGAAAUCCAUGUUCACCAUAUGCCAUGAUGUAUAUGUAUUUAGAUUGUCUCCUCUUAGCUUCCCCCUUUCCACACUAGAGAUCCAAUUAUAAGAUUGCUUCCCUCCCAAUCCCUGCAAAUGUUUUGCCUUUCUCUGGUUGCCUUAUAACCUUUCUGAGACUUGGAAAUUAAAUUGUAUGAUAUUCAUCAGUUUUAUUGAAGGGUAGAAAAAUGUUUUCUCUUUGACUGAACAGACAUAUCCUACCUGGCCUCCUGUCCUAUCUGUCUGCCCAACCUAGGUAAGCAGCAUCCUGGACUCUGUCCCUCCAGCAAUGGCAUCAGAAAAGAUUCAGAUGGAACAAGAAAAAGGACUGUGGAAGUUCGAUCUUUUGGGAAUUCUGUAUAAGAUUCAGAGGGCAAACUGAAGUGAAUUCUGUGAGGGAUUCUAAAGCACAAAGGAAUAUGAAGAGCCCUGAUUGCAGGGAUCAAACUUGAUUUAUCCGUGACUCUACCCGAGACCAACCACAGUUUUCUACACAACGAAAACAAUAAUAAAUUUGAUUUUCCAUGA